rnacentral:rRNA from 1 species
AAAUUGAAGAGUUUGAUCAUGGCUCAGAUUGAACGCUGGCGGCAGGCCUAACACAUGCAAGUCGAACGGUAACAGGAAGCAGCUUGCUGCUUCGCUGACGAGUGGCGGACGGGUGAGUAAUGUCUGGGAAACUGCCUGAUGGAGGGGGAUAACUACUGGAAACGGUGGCUAAUACCGCAUAACGUCGCAAGACCAAAGAGGGGGACCUUCGGGCCUCUUGCCAUCAGAUGUGCCCAGAUGGGAUUAGCUUGUUGGUGAGGUAACGGCUCACCAAGGCGACGAUCCCUAGCUGGUCUGAGAGGAUGACCAGCCACACUGGAACUGAGACACGGUCCAGACUCCUACGGGAGGCAGCAGUGGGGAAUAUUGCACAAUGGGCGCAAGCCUGAUGCAGCCAUGCCGCGUGUAUGAAGAAGGCCUUCGGGUUGUAAAGUACUUUCAGCGGGGAGGAAGGUGUUGUGGUUAAUAACCACAGCAAUUGACGUUACCCGCAGAAGAAGCACCGGCUAACUCCGUGCCAGCAGCCGCGGUAAUACGGAG